GCAGAUACAUUCCAGCCAAUCAGCAGCAGACCCUCCCUCCCAGACCCUCCCACCUCCUGGACAGCAUCCAUUUUACAUUCAUUGUGAAGCUGCAUUCUUAGUGAGCUGUCCAGGAGGUGGGAGGGUCUGGGAGGGAGGGUCUGCUGCUGAUUGGCUGGAAUGUGUCUG